AGAUCAGAUAUUCAGUGAAACGCCACUCGUUUCCUUAAAGAAACCAGUUUGGGUUAUGAUCAUUUGGUUUAUGCUAAAAUCACAUCUAUAUCUGGACGCCCAGAGAUUAAAUGGGCUUCAAUUGGUUACAGAGGAAGAUCAAAACCCAAAAAAUUCAAGUCUUUGCGAUUGGCAGAAGUGAAUAAUGUUUAUCUUGCUGUAUAUAAAGGUUUCCGUACAGUUGUAUUUGAGACGAGGAAGAAGAAAUUUAUAUUUAAAUUUAUUGAUGGUGAUGAGAUAGCUGCCUUUACUCGGUGUUUGGAGAAUAAUCUAGAAGAACACCCAAGUAUGACAAAUGGAAAUGCUGAAAGUAUACAUGCCUGAAUAUUAGUGAUAUGAAACAUUGCAAAAAUGAACUGAAAUAUGUCAGAGGAGGAUGAAAGGGGAGCGUUUGGGUGCAAACUAGAUAUUUGACGAUUUUUUACGAUUAAUCCCACGAAAAGCUAUUGUAAAAAGCACAUCUGACGUGUUAUGAUUGGUAUUGUCAAGUUUCUUUCCCAUUGAAUACAAGAAAAGAGAAACAAUCACUCCACCCCUUUACGCCCCCUCCUAACAACCAAAAAAAACCCCAAAACAAAUCCCAAAUUUGAGAUCAAAUAGAGAAUAGAAUAUAUGUGAUUAUCAUUUCAUCUUUGGUUCUAUAUAUUUAGACACAGUAUCGUAAAUAACGA